rnacentral:rRNA from 1 species
GAUGAACGCUGGCGGCGUGCCUAAUACAUGCAAGUCGAGCGAACAGACGAGGAGCUUGCUCCUCUGACGUUAGCGGCGGACGGGUGAGUAACACGUGGAUAACCUACCUAUAAGACUGGGAUAACUUCGGGAAACCGGAGCUAAUACCGGAUAAUAUAUUGAACCGCAUGGUUCAAUAGUGAAAGACGGUUUUGCUGUCACUUAUAGAUGAAUCCGCGCCGCAUUAGCUAGUUGUUAAGGUAACGGCUUACCAAGGCAACGAUGCUUAGCCGACCUGAGAGGGUGAUCGGCCAAACUGGAACUGGGACACGGUCCAGACUCCUACGGGAGGCAGCAGUAGGGAAUCUUCCGCAAUGGGCGAAAGCCUGACGGAGCAACGCCGCGUGAGUGAUGAAGGUCUUCGGAUCGUAAAACUCUGUUAUUAGGGAAGAACAAAUGUGUAAGUAACUAUGCACGUCUUGACGGUACCUAAUCAGAAAGCCACGGCUAACUACGUG